rnacentral:rRNA from 1 species
UACGUAGGGGGGCUAGCGUUGUCCGGAAUCAUUGGGCGUAAAGCGCGUGUAGGCGGCCCGGUAAGUCCGCUGUGAAAGUCCAGGGCUCAACCCUGGGAUGCCGGUGGAUACUGUCGGGCUCGAGUCCGGAAGAGGCGAGUGGAAUUCCUGGUGUAGCGGUGAAAUGCGCAGAUAUCAGGAGGAACACCGGUGGCGAAGGCGGGUUCUCUGGGCCUGUACUGACGCUGAGGAACGAAAGCGUGGGGAGCGAACAGGA